CUGGAGAAGGGUUUUCAAUUGAACAAAAGGGGCUUCAUCUCCCAAUGAAGAAGAAGAAGAAGAAGAAGAAGAAGAAGAAGAAGAAGAGCACGGACCAAAUUCUCUUCGGAAGAAGAAUAACACGGAAUAUCCUAGGAUUAAGCCUCUGUAAUCAAUCCAUUGAGGUCGGAGGACUUGACAAACAUAAACUAGCAAACUAACAAAUUUUGGAGGAUUGAUGCCAAAUUCGGAAAUUACUACUUCAAUUAUAGCAGUGUGUGUGAAAAAAGAGACCAUCUUUCACAUCAAUGCUUAUGGUCCAACUGCUGCAGCUAGUACAAGGGUGUUGAACGAGUGAGCAAAAAAUCGUAAACUUUUUAUUCAUGACAGGGAGGUUGGCAUUGAUGUCAGAUGGUAGAUAGAGAUGUUAACAUCAAUGUCCUGUACAAGAGCUCUUAAUCAAACAAAAUGAUUGUUGGUUUUCUUAUUCUUUGUUCUUUUUAAUUUCGGUUGUGGAAGGCUUGACACUAGUAUAGAUGAGUUUAUUAUUGUUGAGAAUAAUGGAGAAUUUUUUAUAAUGAAUAAUUAUUUUAAAAAA